CCUAGAAAGAAGACCCCUGCUGUGGAAAUGAAGAAAGACCCUUGUUCUGGUGCUGUUGACUGUAUGGCAUCAUGUUCUGCAGGCAAUGGAAAAUGCUUGCUACAGUUCAAUAAUGGCGGGAGGAAACAGCUGGUCUCCACAUUUGUGAGUGAACAGCAUUUAAUAAGUAUUUUGAUGCAGCUUCCAGGGCACAAAAGAAGAAAUGAUGCAACUUGAGGUGAAUCUUGGUGAGGAAGCAAUCCAGCAUGGCAUGAAUUGCCUGCCACUAUCUGGAAAUCACUUGUGUGAGGUUGCUCCUGGAAUUGCACAUUUUUCAUGGAAGGAACCAAUUAAUCUUUCCCAGUGUUACUGCAGUGCUAUUUACUAUGCUCUGGUGAUCCAUCAUUUGCCCUUCUUUGGCUGCUCCAAUGUAAAUUGUCAUAAUUGUUAUGGCAGCAUGCCUGAAAGAAGGAAUUAUCAUCUCAGUGGAGCAGUGGGACACACCAUGUAACUGCGUGAUGUUCCUUCCAGUCCUGUUUCCCGUGGCAAGCGUGAUGGCAUGUGACACCUGUAUGAUUGUCCAGGAGAUAUGGGUCUUUGUUGCAGAUUGUGGCAUUAACAAGCUAAACACAUGCUUCGAGUCAUCCUCAGA